GCCGGGCACGGUGGCUCAUGCCUGUAAUCCCAGCACUUUGGGAGGCCGAGGCAGGCGGAUCACCUGAGGUCAGGAGUUCAAGACCAGCCUGGCCAACAUGGUGAAACCCUGUCUCUA
rnacentral:SRP_RNA from 1 species